UGGGGAAUUUUGGACAAUGGGGGAAACCCUGAUCCAGCCAUCCCGCGUGUGCGAUGAAGGCCUUCGGGUUGUAAAGCACUUUUGGAAGGAAGGAAACGCAAUGGGUAAAUACCCGGUAAAACUGACGGUACCUGAAGAAUAAGCACCGGCUAACUACGUGCCAGCAGCCGCGGUAAUACGUAGGGUGCAAGCGUUAAUCGGAAUUACUGGGCGUAAAGCGUGCGCAGGCGGUUCGGAAAGAAAGAUGUGAAAUCCCAGAGCUCAACUUUGGAACUGCAUUUUUAACUACCGGGCUAGAGUGUGUCAGAGGGAGGUGGAAUUCCGCGUGUAGCAGUGAAAUGCGUAGAUAUGCGGAGGAACACCGAUGGCGAAGGCAGCCUCCUGGGAUAACACUGACGCUCAUGCACGAAAGCGUGGGGAGCAAACAGG
rnacentral:rRNA from 1 species